UCCAACUGAUCAUGCACCACGUCUCGCCU
rnacentral:sRNA from 1 species